rnacentral:lncRNA from 1 species
GUUGAGUGUGAAGACCUGAGGUAUCAGGGGUAGGGGUUGCUCUGCUUGUGUAAGUCCCAUAGUGUGAAGGCCAGAGAACCAAGAGAUGGUCAAGAAGAGAGAGUAAGUGUCCAAUGUCCCAGCUCAAGAAGAGAGAGAGCAUCACGACCUGUGCAGACUCCCCAGCAUCAUAACAGGAAGGUCCCACGAUCACGAGCACAUUGCCUUCAGCAUCCAGCACUGAAUAUGGUGAAUUGCACUCUGAAGAGCUUCCUAAGCUUGUAAGAAAGUGAUUCUGAAAAGCUCAACAUUUUGGUAGAAUGGAGAGAUUUGACAUUGCUUCUGCUCCAAAAGCAAAAGACUUGGGAAGGGCACCCUGGGAGUUGAGAACAUCCACCACAGAGAGGCCUGGCGUAAAGGAGAUGGGACUCACACCCAAGAGGAUGCAUUUCCAUACACCCAUUUCUGAAAUAUGAAGAGGUGUCCAGUCUGUUUGAUUCAUAGCUGCCUGUUCCACAACUGCAGAUACAGUAAUUGAUAACCGAGACCAAGUUCUCAUCCCCAUCUCCCAGGGCUGGAACUGGGGCUGUGUUUGGUUCUCAUAAGAUCAGUUCCAGUUUUAGAAACUGAGUAAAUUGUGGAGUAAAUAUUGCCAAGUGAUGGCUUUCUGCUGUAGGCGUGGGUCGCUGUUGGCCAUUUGCCUCAGCAUAUCACCAGCAAUGCACCUCAUUGCAUCACUGCAUUUCCAAUUACACCUCAAAGCACCACUGGUCCCCUGUCCACCCUCUGCCCUGCAGAGGUGGGUGUUCAGGGAGACAGAUCCAAAAUCUGGGCUCAGAAGAUGGAAAUGCCAACUGCUCUCAAUUUGAGAGUGGGGAUGAGACUUUUUGACUCAACUCUGGUUAAUUCAGCCAUGCUGUCAGAGCUGCUUUGAUGCAAGGACAUCUGAAUGCUAUCUGAAUGCUGCCCCUAAAAUAACAAAUUAAAAACAACAACAACAACAAAAAUCAAGUGUUGUAGAACAGUUCUCCUGCCCCAAUCCCUGAGCCUCAGUUCAUCCCAGCCCUUCCUCCUAGGGUUAGAGAGAGGCUCAGGAUGAGCUGAGAUACUAGGAUGAGGUAAGCGACAGGAGGGGCUGAAGGCUGGGACUAAGAGUUGGGAACAGGUAUAGGAAGAAGUCCAGUGACAAAAGCCUGGUCAGGAAUGGGGAAUUAAAACAGAUCACAUUACAUCAGCAGUCAUGUCCAAUGUUCCUAGUCCAAAGAGCUCUGCAAUUAUCACCUUGGUUGACUGUCUUGCAACUCCACCACUCACACGCAGGAAUAGGCAGCCAUUACCAAGGGCAUGGUUGGACCUGAAGCUUGCCACUCAAGACCCUCCAGCAUUUGGCCAAACUUCCAUCUCCAUCUUAUUUCUUCCCCUUCAUGAACUGUCAUUUUAAAUCAAACUCCAUGCCAUGACAAAUCCCCACCCCCGCCAUGACCGGGGGAAGAUCACUAGGCACCCUCCUCAUCCUGGUAAAUGUACCUCCCCCUGCUGAAAUUAGACCCAUUUUCCAAGGCCUUCCCUGAAUCUCUAAUCAGGAGAGGUUUCUUCCCCCAACUUCCAUAAAAUUUUCUUUUGAUGUUUACCUUUACCAUGG